GACGUAGGGCGCGAGCGUUGUCCGGAUUUAUUGGGCGUAAAGAGCUCGUAGGCGGCUUGUCGCGUCGACUGUGAAAACCCGUGGCUCAACCAUGCGGUCUGCAGUCGAUACGGGCAGGCUAGAAUUCGGUAGGGGAGACUGGAAUUCCUGGUGUAGCGGUGAAAUGCGCAGAUAUCAGGAGGAACACCGGUGGCGAAGGCGGGUCUCUGGGCCGAUAUUGACGCUGAGGAGCGAAAGCGUGGGGAGCGAACAGG
rnacentral:rRNA from 1 species